rnacentral:rRNA from 1 species
UACGGGGGGAGCAAGCGUUGUUCGGAUUUACUGGGCGUAAAGGGCGCGUAGGCGGCGCAACAAGUCACUUGUGAAAUCUCCGGGCUUAACCCGGAGCGGUCAAGUGAUACUGUCGUGCUAGAGUGCGGAAGGGGCUACUGGAAUUCUCGGUAUAGCGGUGAAAUGCGUAGAUAUCGAGAGGAACACCUGCGGCGAAGGCGGGUAGCUGGGCCGACACUGACGCUGAUGCGCGAAAGCCAGGGGAGCGAACGGG